UUGCUAGGGUUCUCCGUUCCGCCUACACUAGCUCUCAAUCGUCUUCAAUGUAUCGUUAUUCUUUUUCCACUCAAUGUAUAUAAUCUUGCACAAGAUCUUUGUCUUUCUUCAAUUCGUAGUUCGUUUUUGGAUCAUUGACUAGCUUUCUAUACUUGUUUCAGGUAAAUGAUUCUUUGUUAUUGCAUUCCUUAUUAUUAAUCCUUCGAUCUAUAGCUGGCCCUGGAGUAUCUAGGUUAAUAUUUGACUGAUUUUCAUUGAACAACUCAUCCUGUUUCUGCUGCUAUUCGGGACUUUUACUUCCAGUUUCAAUGAAUCUUGCAACUAAAGAAAUCGAUCGGAAAACUGUCCGUUCGUUACCAGCUAACUACGUCUCGUUAGUGCAGCUUCAAGAGAAAUGGAUGAACAAGCAGAAGCAGAAGCAGAGAGAGAAAGAGGAGCAAGAAGAACUAAUUCUAAAGCAGCGAGAGAAAGAGGAGCAAGAAGAACUAAUUCUAAAGCAGAAAGUAGAAGAACAAAAACGCAACCAGGAAGUAGAAGAACGAAACCGAAAGCAGGAUGAAGAACAAAUGAAGAAGAGACUGGGGAAAGAUGUGAAAGCAUCAGAGAAUCGGUACAACCGAGCUAAGAAAGAUAGGAGGAGGAAUAUUCCGUCGUCGCAUCAUUGGAAUCAAGGAAACGUGUCUGGGACAGCUUUUCGAGUGGUCCGCCCUCCCCAUCCUGAGACGGAUUUCAAGUUUGCAUCCAGCUUGGUUGAGGAUGUUGGGCUAAAACUUGGCCAACCAAAUCAGAGGAAAGGGAAGGAGAUAUAUACAGCGCAUCGAUGGAAUGAAAACCCUAUAUUGGAGGAUUGUCGCAAAGGAAACAUCAAACAAUCUCCAGCAGAAGGUAAGGUUGACAAAACGAUCGAUACAUUUCAAAAUGGAAGGGAAGGUGUUAAACGUGGAAUUGGUGGAAAUUCUAAUGCCAGAAAUGCUAACAAUUUGGAGCCGGUGCUGGAGCAGCUGACAAUGGCAGUGAAAGAGGAUUUGAAGAUCUCACCCAACCCAGUUGGGAAUGAUGAGCUAGCAUUUAGCCAUCCAAAUCAGAGAAAAGGGAAGGAGAUAUAUCGAGAGAAUAGAAGAAAUGGAAACCCUAGAUUGGAGAAUUGUAGCAAAGGAAACAAAAAAAUGUUUCAAGGAGAAUAUAAGGAUGACAAAACGAUUGCCUCUGUUGCUCCCCAGACAUUUGAAAAUGGGAGUGAAAGUGAACAUGAAAUUGGUCGAAAUUCAAAUGUUAGAAAUGUUGACAUGGAGGUAAAAGAGGUUUUGAAGAUCUCAACCUCAAAAAUUGGCCAUUCAAAGAUGUGGAAAGAGAAGAAGAUAUAUACUCAGAAACACAAAAAUGGAAACCUUAUAUCAGAUGAUGAGCACAAUGGAAACCAAAAACAGUCUCGAACCGAAGGCCAGGCUGAGAAGAUGAUUGCCUCAGUUGCUCCUGAGACAUUUGAAAUUGAAAGGGAAGGUGUUGCACGUGAAGUUGGUCGAAAUUAUAAUGUCGGCAUUGUGGUUGAUCCUCCUCCUCCUAAAGCUAUUCCACAAAGAUUUCAGAAUUUGUCAUUGAAGGGCAAUGGCAGUAGGUUUUUCAACAGGUCUAAGCAUGAAGAGCCCAAGGGGAGUAAACUGGUAUGGGUUAGAAAAGAAGAUAUCAGCUCAAAACGUUGAUCUGAAUGGACCUCAGUAACUUGACAGGAAAUGUCAAGACAUUAAGCAAUAAUUUGGAGACUACGUCUCUUUGUUGCAGCUUAAGGAGAAAUGGAUGAACAAACAGAAGCAGAGGGAAAAAGAUGAGCAAGAAAGAACUAAUUCGAAAGCAGAAAGUAGAAGAAAGAAACCGAAAGCAGGAGGAAGAACAAAGGAAGAAGAUGGAUUUCAUGUUUAAAUCCCGACUGGUUAAGGAAGAUGAGCUAAAACUUGGCCAUUCACAUCAGUGGAAUUGAAACCAUAUAUUGGAGGAUUGUCGCAAAGAAAACAAAAAACAAUCUUCAGUAGAAGGUAAGGUUGACAAAACGACUGCCACAUUUUCUUCUGAGACAGUUGAAAAUGGAAGGGAAUGUGUUAAACAUGAAAUUGGUCAAAAUUAUAAUGCCAGUGCCCAUGGCGAUGAAAGUGGAUUUCAAGGUCACAUCCAGCCUUGUGGACAAUGAGCCCAAACUUGCCCAACCAAAUCAGAGGAUAGGGAAAGAGAUAUUUACAGACAAUCGAAGGAAUGAAAACCCUACAUGUGAAAUUGGUGGAUUUCUAAUGGUAGAAAUCCUUACAUUUCUGACCCGGUGCUGGAGUAGAUGCCCAUGGUGAUGAAAGUGGAUUUCAAGUUCACAUCCGGCCUUGUUAAGGACGAUGAACUUGUCCAACCAAAUCAGAGGAAAUGGAAAGCGAUAUAUACAGAGGAUCAAUGCAAAGUUGACAAAAUGAUUGCCUCAGUUGCUCUUGAGACAUUUGAAAAUGGAAGGGAAACUGUUAAUAGUGAAAUUUGUGCUGCCAGAAAUGGUAACAUUUCGGAGCAGGUGCCCAUGGCGGUGAAAGAGAUUUUCAAGAUCUCACCCGAGCAGGUUGAGAAGAAUGAUCAGAGAAAAAGAAAGGUGAUAUAUACAUAGAAUAGAAUUGAAAAACCUAAAUUGGAGUAUCGGAGCAUUAGAAACAAAAAAGUUUAAAGAAGAAUCCAAGUGUGAUAAAAACUGACUCUGUUGCUCAUGAGACAUUUGAAAAUGGUAGUGAAAGUGUUGAAAAUGAAAU